GGGGGUAUAGCUCAGCUGGUUAGAGUGCAUUCCUGAUAAGAAUGAGGUCGGAGGUUCAAGUCCCCCUACCCCCA
rnacentral:tRNA from 1 species